GCCGCUGACAUUGAGAGAGACGCCGCCAUGAUGCUCAGCACAGCCACUGGGAGACGGCGGCGCCGCUGGGCCAAACCUCCUCCGCUCGGACAGGAAACGCGAAGGAGAAGCAAGCCUUGUGCUUGAUUUUAACAGCAGAAUUUGACUGAAUCAGAUACAAAAAUUCUGCGCAAUUUGAAGAUCUUCUCUCACUGAUCACUUCAUUUGGAUGCACAAACUCAUUUUAUACUCAAUGUUUCACAAGAGUAGUAUUAAGAGUACCACUGUUCUGUGAGAAAUUUGAUCACUGCAAAUAGUCUCUCACUUCAAGUUACCUAUUUAUUGAAUGGCAUCAGCUACAGGUAUAUACUGAAUAACUCCAGCUGCUUUGAAGAAAUAGGCUUUUGAAUGGUUUUGAGAGAUUAGGGGAAAUUAUUGAGAAUAUGUGAUAUAAAUGUAUCUAAUGGAGCAAUUGUGCUGUCCAGUAAAAUACAUUUGAAAACAAUUUCCUUUAGCCUUCUAAAAACUGAAAUAUAGAGCAGGAAUAUAUUAACAGUGCAAUGCUAGAUCAGACUGAAGUCCUGAAGUUAGCAUGAAAAUGGAUCUCAGUUUAAUUACCACUGCAAGAUAUUUCUGAGGACACUGGAGGCAAGGAUGGCAUUUAAUCUUCCACACUGAAGUUCCCAUUUAGGUGAUACCCAUUAUUAAAGUUUUCUUACUUGUAGAAGUAGUUUUAAAGAUGGAGUUUGAAUUAACUUGAUUAUAUUCUCUGGCAGUAAGACCCACAAGCUGGGUAAGUGUUGUGUGGGAUACUUUAAACAAUUUUCCUAAGUUUUGAAUAAGCCCCACCUCACUCUCUAUACACAAGAUUUUCAAGGCCAACUGCUUGUUCAUACUCUACAAACUGAAAGAAGGAUUGGACCCUGGACUUCUGCAGAACCACAGACAAGACUGGGAAUCAAACUUCUGUUCUAUAAAAUUUGUAAGACAUUUUAAAAACGCUUUUGCAUUUUUCUCUUGGCUGCAGCAAUCUGUGUGUGAUUUGCAAUUGUGCACCUGUCUUGUUGACCAGAUGGAAGAAAGUGUUACUUCCAGCUCUCUUUGUGCUGCUCACAGGAGUUCCUGUGUUGCUCUGAGCAUGCUGGUGUUCAGGCGUUGCUGCCACCACCAUACUCCAGCAAGCUCCCUGUCUAACAAGAUCUGGCAAAGGGCAGUGUAUAUUCAGCACUGUGCAGUUCUGGGAUUCCCCUGCUGUGGAAAUCCCCAGGUCAAAAGACAGGCUAUGCUAUUCCUUGUGUGAAGAUUGAUUCAUUUGUCACAUACCUAGCAUUGUGAAUCACCCUGUUCAGAAGUUAGAGGGGGCCCUAAAAUAUAAUGAGUUUGCUAAAUAAAAAUAAAAACAUAGUUUGCCUCAAGACUUGUAGGCCUUUCUGAUUUUCUCACUUUUCAUAUUCAAAAUAUCCUGUAGAGCCAUGGGCAUUAUUUUGGAUCUUUGUUGUAAAAUAAAAAUUAAGUUUUGUCUUAAGGUUUGAGUUUCAGAAUCUUGAAAUACACAAGAGCUGCCAAAAAGUUCAACAUCUGUAACUGUCCGUAUAGAAAUGAAUAUGGAUAUUCUGAUAACAGCUCGAACCUGAAAUUGAGGUUGCAAAAAAGAGGACAACAACCCAUUUGCAUUAUACUUUCUUUGGCUGUGAGUACUUUGGAUAAGGAAAUAUGAAUUUUGUAUUUGACUGCCUUGUGCACUGGCAUGUUGUGAGAGACCACAUCUGUAUUUCCACACCUUCUGCAUUUGGAUUAAAGGCAUAAAAAUCUUCUACUGUUAUGAAGCAUGCUAUACAGUACUUUAAAUUUUUAUUGUGUCCAUCACUGUAUUAUUUGCACCAGGAAUGGUUUGGUGACACAAUUAGUUUCUGCAAAAAGGAUCGUGAUGCCAGAAAAACAGUAUUAUUUCUGUAAAACAGCUCUUGCCUUUUUUAAGGAUUAAUGAUUCUGUUUCCAUAGAAGUAAGUGUAUGAAAUAUAUAUUAGCAGAAUAUUUACUAAAUAGAAUAUUUAGAAAAUGUUCUGAAAAGAAAAAUCUGAGUGAUUUAUAAGAGAAUAUGUUGAAGAAUGUGUGAUUUUACUCAAUACACUGGUGAAGGAACACUAUGCCUUCUUUAAAAAAACCCCAGUCAAAGCAAAAGUGACAUUAAUUCUCUGUCAAAUGAAAAUGAACUACAAUUUUGCAAUUAAAAAAUUAAAUUAAAACAGUCUUCCAAGCAUAAAAUUAUAAUAGAAAAUAGUUUAUGUGGUCCUUUUUUAUUUUGGGGUCACUUUUUUCUUUUCUUGACAAAAUUGUUGCUGAUUUGGUCAUGUAUCAGAUUUAGUUUUCACCAAAAAUGGUUGUAUUGCAACACAAGGAAAACCCACUUUCAUACAAAUAAUAUGAUCAUUACUUUUCCUUUUCCUACUCUCCAAUGAAACAGUUAAGGAUUUGCUUGUGAAAUUACCUCUCACUAGUUCUUUUCUAAUCUUAUAAAUUUAUUUAUUAUCACUUUCCUUACCUUUCUUCCCAUGUUUUUUCUGGCCUAUAAGUCUUACACUAACAACUACCUUUCUUUGGGUAAUUUUCUUUUUACAUUCAUUUCAGAGAGAUGAUCCCAUUCCACGAGGAAAGCAGAAACAAGUUUAAAUGAGAGACAGUUCAUCAAAAAGACUUGUAAUCCCUGUUGUGUCUGUGUAUUCUUCAUGUCAAUUUGGAAAGUAUCAUUAAAACUAUCCUUCUUUCAGACUAUUUUUCUCAUAUAUUUUCCAUUUUAUAUCAAUGAAGUACCGUGAAAAACGGGCAGAAAACUGUCAUUUUAAGUAUUUUUAAAUUGUAAUUUAAGUUACAUUUUCUUCCCAUCUGAUAAACAACAGGCUAAAUACUACUGUAGCUCUCCUAUUUCUUUCUUUGUACUUUAUUUGCCAUGUCACACAGUGGAGACUUUUCCUUAUUUUCUGUUUUCCUCAUAAUAAGGUAAAGGGUAGUGGUAUUACAAGAGAGUAAUAAAAUCCCUGUUCACAAGUAUAUAUCAGUGAUCACAGAAAUUGUGACUAAAAUAACAGAUACAGUAAGUGUUCUUCAGGGUCUUUUGUUACUUUAGAUUUAGGUCACAAAGUGUAUUUCCCAGGCUGUUGUUCUAAGAGGAGCCCAUCUGACAACAUAAACAUUGUUUUACUUUUUCAGAACACUGGCUUUGUAGCAGCCUUGAAUUAAGAGUUUUCAGAACUUUUGCAAUGUUCGUAAUAAUUCCUUUUAAAUCAUGAAGAUUAAUUUUUAAACAGUACUUUUCCUGCUCAAAUCCUCUGCCUGUGUUUCCAUAUGGUUUCAUUUUAAUGCUUGUUAAUCCAUACUAUUAUUGCUUGCCUCCUUUUGCUGGAAUUCACUGGAGGAAAGUGCUAUUAGGGUUUUCCUUUUUGAAGAGGAGGGUAGUUGUUCUGAAAAGAGAGCACAAGAUGAAAUAAAAGAGUACAUUUAUGAACAAAAUGGGCAUAAUAAUAAAGGUUUUCAAUUGAAUCUCUCUGGUCUAGAGGGGAUCACUAGCGUUCUAAAUGAGAACAAAGACUCCCAGAAAAAAAAUUAAGACAUUAGCAAUAUUUUCUGGAGGCUUAAAUUUCUUCUUAUGUCUCAUAUCUCUAAGUCAGAUGAAUCUUAGAAAUGGCAAAAAAUUAUAUCUGCUCACAAAGAUUAUUUUAGUUAAUAUAUGUAACAAAUGUUUAAGUAGUAUCUGACAGGAUCAGACAAUUUCAAGGAAGUACUUAGCUUCAUAUUUGGUUAUUCAAUGUAUUCCUAAUUUAUAUUACCUUUUUUUAUACUAACUUAUUCAAAACCAAAUGCAUUUUAACAGAUAUGAACAUAAAAUAAUUUAUAAUAUUGCCUCAUAUAUGUUUAAAAUCCAGGUCUGUUUUUGACAUCGAUAUUAUAGAGAGUCCUUCAUGCAUACAAUUGAGAUAUUCAUAGCCGUAAAGAAACUUGGAAUGUGCUAAUAUAUUUCACUGAAUUGAGGCCUCUAAUUCCAAUGACCUAAAAAACCCCUUCAAAAAACAAGGAAGCAACUGGAAAAAAAAAAGUACAUUUUUUCAGAAGAAGAUUUAAAUAAAACUUGCUAUAUUUUAUAUCUAGUAAAAAAGCAAAUGCAAACUUUUGCAGUCCUUUGAAAUAUCCCCUUUAUUGACAAAGUUGCAAUUUGCACUUUA